rnacentral:lncRNA from 1 species
UUUUAACAUAUAAAUGUAUCAAACUGAAUCUGGUGUGAUUAUGAACACAUGGAAACAGGCGUGUGACAGUACCUGUGUUUAUCUAUCCCUCUCUCUCUCUUCCUUUGCUGUCUUCCCGAAGAUCUGACGAUGGGAAACCCAGCAGCCCCUCAGAUGUCUCCUGGAAUGGCCCAGAGCCCCAGAAAGCCGCCGCCACCGAGGAACGCUCUGGACGACCUCAACAUCAAGGACUUCAUGUAGGCUGAUGGACCCAGAAACACCAGAGGUUUGUCGUUGUGUCUGGAGCUCUGUGGAUGUGGAUGUCUGCACUCCCCCUUCCCGCCCCGUCAGCCAACCAGCCAUCAACUCUUCCAUCUUCGGCCCCUCUGCCCUCUCCUCCUUGAAAGAAGAUGACCUUCCUUCCUUAUCUAAUGUUGUAGCACAAAUGUGAAUGUGAACCCUAGAUACAAAGAAAAAAAAACUACAAAAAAAAAACGAUUCCGUUUACGUGUGUGUGUGGGUGUGUGUGUAAUUCAGUGUUAACCUUUACUUAAUAUACUACAGAAAAUCAACCAAAAAAAAAAGGAAUUAAAUGUGUAUUUAGAUUCAUUCUGGAUUUCGGCGUAUCAGCUGAUUGGAAUGGUGGAUAUAUGUUGGUUUCUUUGCGCAUCUCCCAAAUGAGGACUGUGUUGUUAAAUGUGGACUGUGUUCGGUGUAACUUCACUGGCCAACCCCCCCCCCCCCCCCCCACUCCUCUAUCCCUGUC